GGUUCAUUCAAAUUUCUGCCCUAUCAACUUUCGAUGGUAAGGUAUUGGCUUACCAUGGUUUCAACGGGUAACGGGGAAUUAGGGUUCGAUUCCGGAGAGGGAGCCUGAGAAACGGCUACCACAUCCAAGGAAGGCAGCAGGCGCGCAAAUUACCCAAUCCCGACCGGGGAGGUAGUGACAAUAAAUACUGAUACAGGGCUCUUUUGGGUCUUGUAAUUGGAAUGAGUACAAUUUAAACCUCUUAACGAGGAACAAUUGGAGGGCAAGUCUGGUGCCAGCAGCCGCGGUAAUUCCAGCUCCAAUAGCGUAUAUUAAAGUUGUUACAGUUAAAAAGCUCGUAGUUG
rnacentral:rRNA from 1 species